rnacentral:rRNA from 1 species
UACGGGGGGAGCAAGCGUUGUUCGGAUUUACUGGGCGUAAAGGGCGCGUAGGCGGCCACCGCAAGUCGGUUGUGAAAUCUCCGGGCUUAACCCGGAAAGGUCAAUCGAUACUGCGGGGCUAGAGUGCAGAAGGGGCAACUGGAAUUCUCGGUGUAGCGGUGAAAUGCGUAGAUAUCGAGAGGAACACCUGCGGCGAAGGCGGGUUGCUGGGCUGACACUGACGCUGAGGAGCGAAAGCCAGGGGAGCAAACGGG